UGAGGAAUUUUCGUCAAUGGGGGCAACCCUGAACGAGCAACGCCGCGUGCAGGAAGAAGGUUUUCGGAUCGUAAACUGCUUUUCUCUGGGACGAGCAAGGACGGUACCAGAGGAAUCAGCCUCGGCUAACUACGUGCCAGCAGCCGCGGUAAUACGUAGGAGGCGAGCGUUGUCCGGAGUUACUGGGCGUAAAGCGUACGCAGGCGGUCCAGUUAGUCUAUAGGGACAGGGCACAGCUUAACUGUGUCAGGCUUAUGGAAACUGUUGGACUUGAGGGCUUCAGAGGGAUGGGGAAUUCCGGGUGGAGUGGUGAAAUGCGUAGAGAUCCGGAAGAACACCAAAGGCGUAGGCACCAUCCUGGGGAGUCACUGACGCUCAGGUACGAAAGCUAGGGGAGCGAACG
rnacentral:rRNA from 1 species